UACGGGGGGAGCAAGCGUUGUUCGGAUUUACUGGGCGUAAAGGGCGCGUAGGCGGUCGGUGACAAGUCACUUGUGAAAUCUCCGGGCUUAACUCGGAACGGUCAAGUGAUACUGUCGGACUAGAGUACAGAAGGGGCAACUGGAAUUCUCGGUGUAGCGGUGAAAUGCGUAGAUAUCGAGAGGAACACCUGCGGCGAAGGCGGGUUGCU
rnacentral:rRNA from 1 species